UGUAGGCGUGCAGGGUUCGCUGACAGAGGGCCGAGCGGACGCAAUCGUCGCUGGUAAAGCGCACGAUGCCGACCAUCUCAUCCUCCUCAAAACGUGCGAGCGCGUCGCUGAGCCCGGACUGUACGCCGCGGGGCAGGUCGCACUGAGUGAUGUCGCCGUUAACGAUGACCGUCACGUUUUCCCCGAGGCGGGUG
rfam:Pluralibacter gergoviae strain JS81F13 contig_26, whole genome shotgun sequence.